GGGGCAACGGCCCACCAAGGCGACGAUCAGUAGCCGGCCUGAGAGGGCGGACGGCCACAUUGGGACUGAGACACGGCCCAAACUCCUACGGGAGGCAGCAGUGGGGAAUAUUGCACAAUGGGGGGAACCCUGAUGCAGCGACGCCGCGUGAAGGAUGAAGUAUUUCGGUACGUAAACUUCUAUCAGCAGGGAAGAAAAUGACGGUACCUGACUAAGAAGCCCCGGCUAACUAC
rnacentral:rRNA from 1 species